UAGGGAAUCUUCCGCAAUGGGCGAAAGCCUGACGGAGCAACGCCGCGUGAGUGAUGAAGGUCCUCGGAUCGUAAAACUCUGUUAUUAGGGAAGAACAAAUGUGUAAGUAACUAUGCACGUCUUGACGGUACCUAAUCAGAAAGCCACGGCUAACUCCGUGCCAGCAGCCGCGGUAAUACGUAGGUGGCAAGCGUUAUCCGGAAUUAUUGGGCGUAAAGCGCGCGUAGGCGGUUUUUUAAGUCUGAUGUGAAAGCCCACGGCUCAACCGUGGAGGGUCAUUGGAAACUGGAAAACUUGAGUGCAGAAGAGGAAAGUGGAAUUCCAUGUGUAGCGGUGAAAUGCGCAGAGAUAUGGAGGAACACCAGUGGCGAAGGCGACUUUCUGGUCUGUAACUGACGCUGAUGUGCGAAAGCGUGGGGAUCAAACAGG
rnacentral:rRNA from 1 species